UAUGCUCAACUAAUCCCAUG
rnacentral:misc_RNA from 1 species